GACGAACGCUGGCGGCGUGCUUAACACAUGCAAGUCGAACGGACAGGCCCUGCUUUUGUGGGUUGCUCGAUUGCCGAACGGGUGAGUAUCACGUGUGUAACCUGCCCUUGUCUUUGGGAUAACUUCUGGAAACUGGGGCUAUUACCGGAUAGGAGCUCCUGCUGCAUGGUGGGGGUUGGAAAGUUUCGGCGGUUUGGGCUGGACUCGCAGCUUAUCCGCUUGUUGGUCGGGUAGUGGCUUACCAAGGUUUUGACGGGUAGCCGGCCUGAGAGGUGGACCGGCGACAUUGGGACUGAGGUACGGCCCAGACUCCUACGGGAGGCAGCAGUGGGGAAUAUUGCACAAUGGGCGGAAGCGUGAGACGGCAGCGCCGCGUGCGGAAUGACGGCCUUCGGGUUGUAAACCGCUUUCGCCUGUGACGAAGCGUGAGUGACGGUAAUGGGUAAAGAAGCACCGGCUAACUACGUG
rnacentral:rRNA from 1 species